rnacentral:tRNA from 1 species
GGGUGAUUAGCUCAGAUGGUAGAGCAGCUGACUCUUAAUCAGCGGGUCCACGGUUCGAGCCCGUGAUCACCCACCA